ensembl:snRNA U6 U6 spliceosomal RNA
GUGUUUUGGUAGCACAUAUACUAAAAACUGGAAUGAUGCAGAGAUUAGCGUGACCCCUGCACAAGGAUGACACUCAAAUUCAUAAAGUAUUCCAUACUUUU